CGAACGGGUGAGUAACACGUGAGGAACCUGCCCCGAAGACCGGGACAACACCGGGAAACCGGUGCUAAUACCGGAUACCUUCACCGGAUCGCAUGUUCUGGUGAAGAAAUGGAUUCCGCUUCGGGAUGGCCUCGCGGCCUAUCAGCUUGUUGGUGAGGUAACGGCUCACCAAGGCGACGACGGGUAGCUGGUCUGAGAGGAUGUCCAGCCACACUGGGACUGCGAACGGCCCAG
rnacentral:rRNA from 1 species